rnacentral:rRNA from 1 species
GUGAGGAAUUUUCCGCAAUGGGCGAAAGCCUGACGGAGCAAUGCCGCGUGAAGGAUGAAGGCCUAUGGGUUGUAAACUUCUUUUCUCAGAAAAGAAUUAUGACGGUAUCUGAGGAAUAAGCAUCGGCUAACUCUGUGCCAGCAGCCGCGGUAAGACAGAGGAUGCAAGCGUUAUCCGGAAUGAUUGGGCGUAAAGCGUCUGUAGGUUGUUUAAAAAGUAUUCUGUCAAAGAUUAGGGCUUAACCCUAGAUAGGCAGAAUAAACUUUUAAGCUAGAGUUUGGUAGAGGCAGAGGGAAUUCCCGGUGGAGCGGUGAAAUGCGUAGAUAGCGGGAGGAACACCAAAGGCGAAGGCACUCUGCUGGGCCAAUACUAACACUGAGAGACGAAAGCGAGGGGAGCAAAUGGGAUUAGAAACCCUGGUAGUCC